rnacentral:rRNA from 1 species
CACUGAUUGAAGGGCCGCGGUAAUUUGACCGUGCGAAGGUAGCAUAAUUAUUAGUCUUUUAAUUGGAGGCUGGAAUGAAUGGUUGGACGAGAUAUAUACUGUUUGAAUUUAAUUAUUAGGUUAAAAAGCUUAAAUUUUUUUUUGGGACGAGAAGACCCUAUAGAUUUUUAUAUAUUUUAUUGGGGUGAUAGGAAGAUAAUAAACUCUUUUUUGAUCCAGUUGAUUAUAAGAUUAAAUUACCUUAGGGAUAACAGCGUAAUCUUUUUUGAGAGUUCAAAUCGACAAUAAGGGUUGCGACCUCGAUAUUGGAUUAAAAAAA